AUACAUGCAAGUCGAGCGGACAGAUGGGAGCUUGCUCCCUGAUGUUAGCGGCGGACGGGUGAGUAACACGUGGGUAACCUGCCUGUAAGACUGGGAUAACUCCGGGAAACCGGGGCUAAUACCGGAUGCUUGUUUGAACCGCAUGGUUCAAACAUAAAAGGUGGCUUCGGCUACCACUUACAGAUGGACCCGCGGCGCAUUAGCUAGUUGGUGAGGUAAUGGCUCACCAAGGCAACGAUGCGUAGCCGACCUGAGAGGGUGAUCGGCCACACUGGGACUGAGACACGGCCCAGACUCCUACGGGAGGCAGCAGUAGGGAAUCUUCCGCAAUGGACGAAAGUCUGACGGAGCAACGCCGCGUGAGUGAUGAAGGUUUUCGGAUCGUAAAGCUCUGUUGUUAGGGAAGAACAAGUACCGUUCGAAUAGGGCGGUACCUUGACGGUACCUAACCAGAAAGCCACGGCUAACUACGUGCCAGCAGCCGCGGUAAUACGUAGGUGGCAAGCGUUGUCCGGAAUUAUUGGGCGUAAAGGGCUCGCAGGCGGUUCCUUAAGUCUGAUGUGAAAGCCCCCGGCUCAACCGGGGAGGGUCAUUGGAAACUGGGGAACUUGAGUGCAGAAGAGGAGAGUGGAAUUCCACGUGUAGCGGUGAAAUGCGUAGAGAUGUGGAGGAACACCAGUGGCGAAGGCGACUCUCUGGUCUGUAACUGACGCUGAGGAGCGAAAGCGUGGGGAGCGAACAGGAUUAGAUACCCUGGUAGUCCACGCCGUAAACGAUGAGUGCUAAGUGUUAGGGGGUUUCCGCCCCUUAGUGCUGCAGCUAACGCAUUAAGC
rnacentral:rRNA from 1 species